CAUGUUUCACUUUACUACACUGUUUUGUUUUCACUAGGGAUUUGUGCUUUACACUAUAUGGGCACUUAGACUCAGGAUUUCUUGUAAUGUGUGAUAUAAGGGUAUUCUGCAUUAUCAAUGCCCUCCCUCUCCCCCUCUGAUAAGCUUCCUUUAGAAUAGCUAGCCACUUUUCUGCACUGUUCUAUUAUUGUUGUCCAUUUUUCUUACUGCCAGCACUAUGAUCUUCCCUGUGGGAGAUCAUUUCUAC